UACGGAGGGGGCUAGCGUUGUUCGGAAUUACUGGGCGUAAAGCGCACGUAGGCGGCUUUGUAAGUUAGAGGUGAAAGCCCAGGGCUUAACCCUGGAAUUGCCUUUAAGACUGCAUCGCUAGAAUCGUGGAGAGGUGAGUGGAAUUCCGAGUGUAGAGGCGAAAUUCGUAGAUAUUCGGAAGAACACCAGUGGCGAAGGCGGCUCACUGGCCCGAUACUGACGCUGAGAUACGAAAGCGUGGGGAGCAAACAGG
rnacentral:rRNA from 1 species